rnacentral:rRNA from 1 species
CCUUUGACGUUAGCGGCGGACGGGUGAGUAACACGUGGGUAACCUACCUAUAAGACUGGGAUAACUUCGGGAAACCGGAGCUAAUACCGGAUAAUAUUUCGAACCGCAUGGUUCGAUAGUGAAAGGUGGUUUUGCUAUCACUUAUAGAUGGACCCGCGCCGUAUUAGCUAGUUGGUAAGGUAACGGCUUACCAAGACGACGAUACGUAGCCGACCUGAGAGGGUGAUCGGCCACACUGGAACUGAGACACGGUCCAGACUCCUACGGGAGGCAGCAGAU